CCUACGGGAGGCAGCAGUGGGGAAUAUUGCACAAUGGGCGGAACCCUGAUGCAGCGACGCCGCGUGGGUGAGGAAGUUCUUCGGUAUGUUAAGCCCUAUCUGCCGGGAAGAAAAUGCCGGUACCUGACUACGAAGCCCCGGCUAACUACGUGCCAGCAGCCGCGGUAAUACGCCGGGGGCAAGCGUUAUCCGGAUUUACUGGGUGUAAAGGGAGCGUAGACGGCGUGCCAAGUCUGAGGGGAAAGGCCGGGGCUCAACCCCGGGACUGCAGUGGCAACUGGCAUGCUGGAGUGCGGGAGGAGCAGGCGGAAUGCGUGGUGUAGCGGUGAAAUGCGUAGAUAUUGGGAAGAACACCGGUGGCGAAGGCGGCAUGCUGGACCGAGACUGACGUUGAGGCUCGAAAGCGUGGGGAGCGAACAGGAUUAGAUACCCGAGUAGUC
rnacentral:rRNA from 1 species